rnacentral:rRNA from 1 species
GAUGAACGCUGGCGGCGUGCCUAAUACAUGCAAGUCGAGCGAACGGACGAGAAGCUUGCUUCUCUGAUGUUAGCGGCGGACGGGUGAGUAACACGUGGAUAACCUACCUAUAAGACUGGGAUAACUUCGGGAAACCGGAUCUAAUACCGGAUAAUAUUUUGAACCGCAUUGUUCAAAAGUGAAAGACGGUCUUUCUGUCACUUAUAGAUGGAUCCGCGCUGCAUUAGCUAGUUGGUAAGGUAACGGCUUACCAAGGCAACGAUGCAUAGCCGACCUGAGAGCGUGAUCGCCCACACUGGAACUGAGACACGGUCCAGACUCCUGCGGGAGGACGCAGUAGGGACUCUUACGCAAUGGGGGAGAGCCUGACAGAGCAACGCCGCGUGAGUGAUGAAGCACUUAGGCUCGUAAAGCUCUGUUGUUAGGGAAGAACAUAUGUGUAAGUACCUGUGCACAUAUUGACGGUACCUGGUCAAAAAGCACCGGCUAACUACGUG